UACAGAGGUGGCAAGCGUUGUUCGGAAUUACUGGGCGUAAAGGGCGCGUAGGCGGCCCACUAAGUCAGACGUGAAAUCCCCCGGCUUAACCUGGGAACUGCGUCCGAUACUGGGAGGCUUGAAUCCGGGAGAGGGAUGUGGAAUUCCAGGUGUAGCGGUGAAAUGCGUAGAUAUCUGGAGGAACACCGGUGGCGAAGGCGGCAUCCUGGACCGGUAUUGACGCUGAGGCGCGAAAGCCAGGGGAGCAAACGGG
rnacentral:rRNA from 1 species